UACGAGGGGGGCGAGCGUUGUUCGGAAUUAUUGGGCGUAAAGGGUGCGUAGGCGGUUCCGCAAGUCCUGUGUGAAAUCUUCGGGCUCAACUCGAAGUCUGCACGGGAAACUGCGGGGCUUGAGUGUGGGAGAGGUGAGUGGAAUUUCCGGUGUAGCGGUGAAAUGCGUAGAUAUCGGAAGGAACACCUGUGGCGAAAGCGGCUCACUGGACCACAACUGACGCUGAGGCACGAAAGCUAGGGGAGCAAACAGG
rnacentral:rRNA from 1 species